rnacentral:rRNA from 1 species
UACGAAGGGGGCAAGCGUUGUUCGGAAUUACUGGGCGUAAAGGGCGCGCAGGCGGCGGACGUAGUCAGGCGUGAAAGCCCCGGGCUUAACCUGGGAAUUGCGUUUGAUACUCGUCUGCUAGAGUUUGGGAGAGGUUGGUGGAAUUCCCAGUGUAGAGGUGAAAUUCGUAGAUAUUGGGAAGAACACCGGUGGCGAAGGCGGCCAACUGGACCAAAACUGACGCUGAGGCGCGAAAGCGUGGGGAGCAAACAGG